GUGCAAUGGCGUUACUGGAAAGGUUACCUCUAACACGUCGUUUGGUCAAAGCGUCAGUUGCUAUGGAAACCGAAGCGCUGGUGAAUGGCAGAAAGGUUUCUCCCACGAAUCACGUCGCUAAUUAUCAAUCGACUAACGGUAAUGCUUCGAAAUCGGAAAUGUCACAAAAUGCCAGCGAAAACAAGGAAGAUAAUCAAACGUAUUCCGUAGAAACGUCAGAAGAAGGAUUGACCACUCUCGGUGAUUUAUCCGAAACUCGCAGCCAGAAGAUGAAUUACUUUUUAAAGGACAAUAAUAAUUAUUUAUUUCUGUAAGUUACUCAACCUCGACCCGUAAAUGUCUUAUUAAGUACAAUACAAGCGGCGUAAUAACAUGUAAAAAAAUGUACACGCUACUAAGAUUAUCGUUAUAUAAUAUAUGCCGGCCAAGACGAUUACGGGAGUUAUCAUUAAGACCCUUAUGACGUUAUUCCUUUGAAAAAUAUACGAGAAUUAAUAGAAUAUAAAUCGACCUAACAACAUCUGCACUCUAUGACAAAAGAUGGUAUUAUUAAAUACACGCAACAAACAGCAUGAAAUUCUUAAAUUCUGACGUCACGCAACUUGUACUGUACUUUCUAUUUAAUGUAUUAAAACAUUUCUUUCUUUGCAUAAAUUAAUACUUAGGCUUAUUCUAAGAUUUAUCGAUGUAAAGGGCAUUAAUAAUUAAUGAAAUGUUAACAAUAAUAUUAUUAAUUAAUGUAGUGAAUACGUGAGAAAAAGUCGCUAUAAUAAUCUACACCAUUUUGAAUCUUUUUGACAGUUUAUUUUGCUUCAAAUUAUAUAAAAUUUUGAUGCCAUGUACUGUCAUUCUAUACAUAAAAAUUCAAUUUUUCCUCCUCUUGAUAUAAUAUUUUUCUUUGUUGGCUGUGCAUUGACCAAUAACAUUGUUAAAAGCCUGUUGAGUGUCCCGCUUUUUACUUCGGCACGGAAACAAUUUCAAUAGAAUGCUUUCAAUUCGGCGAUUGUUUUCUGUAUAAUAAUCCUAUCAAACUUCCUGCUUUUGAUUACAGCUUUGAAAGAAGCUUCUCUUUCCUCCCUAAGGGUUGGAAUUAAUUUUAACGAGGAAAAUACCUUUAUUCUAUUGGAGUUCUAUUAAUUUUUAUUUAUUUAUUAGAAAACAAAGGAAUAUCACUCUUCUUUAAAAAUCUCGAAAACACAAUACAUUAUACUCAAUUAAACAAUAUGACAAUAGUGUAUCAUGGUUGUUCACUGAUGAUACUAAACGAUACUGAUAUUUGUUUUAAAAUACCGUACGCAUCAAUAUGCAAAUCAGUAAACUAUGUAAAGUUGGAUCAGAUAUUCGACGCGUGGCACCAAUUAUAUGGAUCAAUUUUACCAUUAGUGUGCGUCUGACCCGCAAUAAGAUUGGCCUUAAUGAUUGAGGACGUGUCAGUCAACUAGUUAUGGCUAGCAAUGAUGUUCUUCGAGUUCCAAUUAUUCAUUGUAGUAGACUGUUCUUUAGAAUAAAACAAUCCCGCGGUCUGUAUAUAUCUGUAGCAUGGAAGAAUAAGGGCCAACGUAAAAGGCAAAUGCCCUUAUCCUUCCAAUAUUAAGCUUACGUAACGAUUCUCUCACCAUCUUGACUUGUCAGAUCGUUUUCAAAGAACUGGUACCAUCGAGUUAAGGCUUUAUUCGAAUUCACGCCAACUGUUUUAAAGCAUCUUUCUGUGUAUUAGCGUAAACAUUCAAAAAGUUUCAAAGAAAGGACUAUUAAUGCAUUCAUAGAUUUGAGAUUCUCUAUGGUUAUAUCCAUUAUAAUUCAAUGGUUCAAUAUUAUUUUUAUUUUUGAUAAGAGCAUUGUUUACUCUGUUGUAUUUGCAUCGAUAACAAUCGACACGUCUUCAAGAGCAUUUUUUUUUAUUACCACUAUGGCGAAUAACUAAAUGCUUGAAAUAGUUAUUAGUUUAUUUAUUAGUUUAG